UACGGGGGGGGCAAGCGUUGUUCGGAAUUACUGGGCGUAAAGGGCUCGUAGGCGGCCAACUAAGUCAGACGUGAAAUCCCUCGGCUUAACCGGGGAACUGCGUCUGAUACUGGAUGGCUUGAGGUUGGGAGAGGGAUGCGGAAUUCCAGGUGUAGCGGUGAAAUGCGUAGAUAUCUGGAGGAACACCGGUGGCGAAGGCAGCCCCCUGGGCUAACACUGACGCUCAGGCACGAAAGCGUGGGGAGCAAACAGG
rnacentral:rRNA from 1 species